rnacentral:misc_RNA from 1 species
UUUUGGCUAAUGGCGGCCUUCCUCGCAUUUGAGCUUGGUUGGUGGUUGUUAGCUGAGUGGUUUCGGGGAUGUCUACCGUAAAGGUGCAUGAGUGGUGUUUGGUUUGUUACGGGUGGUUGGCUCUUUGCUUGCGCAACAACUUCCACCUGGCAUACCUCUUCAGUUUUGUGUCGAUGCUUGUAUCGCAUUGAAUGCAUGGUGGGUUUCUUGUGUUGCAUGCCUAAUUGAUGGUAUCGGCUGACGAAUUGAUGUCUAUUUUCGUCUUGUGUUGCACAUGCGAUGCGAGAUGAACCUUAAAGUAGCCUUUGUGAUCCACUAUUUUGAUGCACACCAUCGAUCUUGUGGCUCAUUGAGUGUUUGCUUGGUCUCAUGGAUAUGGAACCUUGUGUGGGCAUGUGAUCUUUUAUUAGCUCCUUGUUUGCCCUAGUGAAGCUUUUCAAAUACGAUUUCCCAUCAUGUUCUAACGUGGUGGGCUAUAUCGAAUAUGAUUG